rnacentral:rRNA from 1 species
UGGCUCAGAGCGAACGCUGGCGGCAGGCUUAACACAUGCAAGUCGAGCGGGCGUAGCAAUACGUCAGCGGCAGACGGGUGAGUAACGCGUGGGAACGUACCUUUUGGUUCGGAACAACACAGGGAAACUUGUGCUAAUACCGGAUAAGCCCUUACGGGGAAAGAUUUAUCGCCGAAAGAUCGGCCCGCGUCUGAUUAGCUAGUUGGUGAGGUAAUGGCUCACCAAGGCGACGAUCAGUAGCUGGUCUGAGAGGAUGAUCAGCCACAUUGGGACUGAGACACGGCCCAAACUCCUACGGGAGGCAGCAGUGGGGAAUAUUGGACAAUGGGGGCAACCCUGAUCCAGCCAUGCCGCGUGAGKGAUGAAGGCCCUAGGGUUGUAAAGCUCUUUUGUGCGGGAAGAUAAUGACGGUACCGCAAG